GGAUGAACGCUGGCGGCGUGCCUAAUACAUGCAAGUCGAGCGGACAGACGAGGAGCUUGCUCCUUUGACGUUAGCGGCGGACGGGUGAGUAACACGUAGGUAACCUACCUAUAAGACUGGGACAACUUCGGGAAACCGGAGCUAAUACCGGAUAAUAUUUCGAACCGCAUGGUUCGAUAGUGAAAGAUGGCUUUGCUAUCACUUAUAGAUGGACCUGCGCCGUAUUAGCUAGUUGGUAAGGUAACGGCUUACCAAGGCAACGAUACGUAGCCGACCUGAGAGGGUGAUCGGCCACACUGGAACUGAGACACGGUCCAGACUCCUACGGGAGGCAGCAGUAGGGAAUCUUCCGCAAUGGGCGAAAGCCUGACGGAGCAACGCCGCGUGAGUGAUGAAGGUCUUCGGAUCGUAAAACUCUGUUAUUAGGGAAGAACAAACGUGUAAGUAACUGUGCACGUCUUGACGGUACCUAAUCAGAAAGCCACGGCUAACUACGUG
rnacentral:rRNA from 1 species